rnacentral:rRNA from 1 species
UACGGAGGGUGCAAACGUUGCUCGGAAUUAUUGGGCGUAAAGCGCACGUAGGUGGUCUAUUAAGUCGGGUGUGAAAGCCCUGGGCUCAACCCAGGAAGUGCACUCGAAACUGAUAGGCUUGAGUAUGGAAGAGGGUCGCGGAAUUCCCGGUGUAGAGGUGAAAUUCGUAGAUAUCGGGAGGAACACCAGUGGCGAAGGCGGCGACCUGGGCCAAUACUGACACUGAGGUGCGAAAGCGUGGGGAGCAAACAGG